GGAGGGGUUCCCGAGUGGCCAAAGGGGGCAGACUGUAAAUCUGUUGGCAAUGCCUUCACUGGUUCGAAUCCAGUCCCCUCCA
rfam:[Clostridium] thermoalcaliphilum strain DSM 7309 CLOTH_contig000017, whole genome shotgun sequence.